rnacentral:rRNA from 1 species
UACGUAGGGUGCGAGCGUUGUCCGGAAUUAUUGGGCGUAAAGAGCUCGUAGGCGGUGUGUCGCGGUCGCCCGUGAAAACCUGGGGCUCAACUCUGGGCGUGCGGUCGAUACGGGCAUCACUUGAGUUCGGCAGGGGAGACUGGAAUUCCUGGUGUAGCGGUGAAAUGCGCAGACUAUCAGGAGGAACACCGAUGGCGAAGGCAGGUCUCUGGGCCAUAACUGACGCUGAGAAGCGAAAGCAUGGGGAGCGAACAGG